CCGCAACAAGUUUUACUGCCCCACCAUCGACGUCGACCGCUUCUGGUCCCUCGGCCCCGACCGCAUCAAGGAUCCCGCCACAGCUUGUGACGACAGCUCUGUCCUCUUGACCGGUAUCACCCUGCCUUGCUACUCCAAAAUUCUCGGGCAGAAUACCUUUAUCGGCGGCCCCCGUUAUUAAAACCCUGUUGUUGAAGGAAUUCUUCCUUGAGCCCUCUUUAAAACGAUGGGGAUCCUCAGCGGCCACUUGAUGAUCGGAGAACUCACCGGCUGCUGUUCUCCUCCUCGCCUUCCUCCAAGCCCUGGACAUCCCUUCGAGGAUGGCCUCCGGGGUGG
rnacentral:lncRNA from 1 species